rnacentral:rRNA from 1 species
AACGAACGCUGGCGGCAGGCCUAACACAUGCAAGUCGAGCGAAGCCUUCGGGCUUAGCGGCGGACGGGUGAGUAACACGUGGGCAACCUGCCUCAUAGAGGGGAAUAGCCUUCCGAAAGGGAGAUUAAUACCGCAUAAGAUUGUAGUACCGCAUGGUACAGCAAUUAAAGGAGCAAUCCGCUAUGAGAUGGGCCCGCGGCGCAUUAGCUAGUUGGUGAGGUAACGGCUCACCAAGGCGACGAUGCGUAGCCGACCUGAGAGGGUGAUCGGCCACAUUGGGACUGAGACACGGCCCAGACUCCUACGGGAGGCAGCAGUGGGGAAUAUUGCACAAUGGGGGAAACCCUGAUGCAGCAACGCCGCGUGAGUGAUGACGGCCUUCGGGUUGUAAAGCUCUGUCUUCAGGGACGAUAAUGACGGUACCUGAGGAGGAAGCCACGGCUAACUACGUGCCAGCCGCCGCGGUAAAAC